rnacentral:rRNA from 1 species
GCAAGUCGAACGGAAACGAUGGGAGCUUGCUCUUUGGCGACGAGUGGCGGACGGGUGAGUAAUACUUAGGAAUUUGCCCAGUAGUGGGGGACAACUUCGGGAAACCGGAGCUAAUACCGCAUACGCCCUAAGGGGGAAAGCAGGGGAUCUUCGGACCUUGCGCUAUUGGAUGAGCCUAAGCCGGAUUAGCUUGUUGGUGGGGUAAUGGCCCACCAAGGCCGCGAUCCGUAGCUGGUCUGAGAGGACGAUC